GUAAGCACCGUCCAGAGAAAAUCCCAUGCACUGAGAACUGAAGAAUUGCUCAGCGCUCCUGAGAUUUCCUGGUGACAUCAGCAGACACCGUCAGCCGUGCUGAAAGUGACCCAUCUUUCCGUUAAACUGCUUCUGAAAGGCUUCUGGCCUCUCUAGAGCUGUCUCUGUGUAUCUGGACAUGUAACACUGAAAAUACUUUAAGAGAAGCUUGAAGAAUGGUGUCACCUGGAGUAAUUGGAGAGUCAGAUUUUCUCUUUAUGUCACCAUUCUGUACAAAAGUGAGCAAAAGGCCUUAUGAAUGGACAGGUAGAAGAGCGAUUUCUAAUGAAGAUGGAUGUGUUGUUACUGCUGUGUAGCAGAGCAUUAAACUUUCUGACACAGGCUGAAGUCACCACAUUAUAACAGCCUAAAAAGACGUGCAGUGAUGGGUAAAAGAAGGUCUUCCUGUACAGACCCCACAGGAAGAGCAGGAGACCUUCAAAGAGGAGAGAUUCUGUCUACUACAUCAACAGCAAAACAUUAACAGCUGGGAAUCUGGAGAAGAUGAGGAAAACAACAUUAGGAAGCAAGACUGAGAAUCAAUGGCAAAUAAGGAAAAAAGAUUUUUAAGUUAAUAAA